AAUAUUUAUAUUGUUUCAAUGAGUGCAUCACAAUAGUAAAGGCAGGCAAUGUUACCUGGCGCCCUAUAGGUCCUGAUGGAAGAGAAAAACUAACAUCCUCUCUACUUAGACAGCAGGUGGCAGCCCAUGCAAACCAAAAAGCUGUCAUGCCUGCAGUCUUGAGUGCACAUCUACAUUUACAUCACCAUCAGGGGAGGAGGAGCCUCUCUGAGUGAGAGUAAUGCUGGGUUAAGACAAUACAGGCGACCGACCGGAGGACGCGCAGCAUGGCAUCUCUGCACCACUACAGAGACUCUGCACAUGACAUUGCCAAUGUGAUGCAGAGGCUGCAAGGGAUCCCAACGAUGGAGAUGGAACAUCCUGCAACUGCCCUGGCAGAUCCUCCCCUUGAGGGAAGAGAAAAAAAAAAAGGACAUCACAGACACCCUGACACACAAGGUCACUACCCCAGCAGCUGGCCGACUUGCAGCACUGCAGAGUACUCUGCAGCGCACCGACCUGCCACAAUAGACGCGGGGACCAGACCCAGGAGGCCCCAACCAAGAUGGGCAUCCGGAAGGGGUGGACGGUAGGCCACAGACACCCCAGACAUGCAGCCUGGCUGCAGUAGCCUGAGGACAAGCAGACCCCGAGAGCCCCCCACCCCCCCACCCCCAAAAAAAAAGAUUUAUUAGACUUAUGUAUACAUACAUACACAUAUAUUAAGAUUAAGA